rnacentral:rRNA from 1 species
GACGAACGCUGGCGGCGUGCUUAACACAUGCAAGUCGAACGGAAAGGCCCUGCGUUUGUGGGGUGCUCGAGUGGCGAACGGGGGAGUAACACGUGAGUAACCUGUCCUUGACUUUGGGAUAACUUCAGGAAACUGGGGCUAAUACCGGAUAGGAGCUCCUGCUGCAUGGGGGGGGUUGGAAAGUUUCGGCGGUUGGGGAUGGACUCGCGGCUUAUCAGCUAGAUAGUCGAGUAGGGGCGUACCAAGGGUUCGACGGGUAGCCGGCCUGAGAGGGUAGACGGGGACAAUGGUACUGCGAUACGGCGCAGACGGGUACGGGAGGCAGCGGUCGAGAGCAUUGCACAGUAGGCGGACGCGUGAGACGACAGCGCCCGGUGCGGGAUGCCCGCCUUCGGGUUAUAAACCGCUUUCGCCUGAGACGAGGCGUGCGUGACGGUAAUUGGUAAAGAAGCAACGGCUAACUACGUG